rnacentral:rRNA from 1 species
AUGUAUAGCGAAAGCUAGUUGUAUUAAUUAUGUCUUUAGUUAAAUGCAGCAUCGACUAUGUCGAAUAAAGUUCUAGGUAGAGUUAUGAUAAUGACAUUUUCUACCUAUGUGUCUUGACCAAAUCACGUGCCAGCAGUCGCGGAAAUACGUGGAAGACUAGUGUUAUUCAUCUUUAAUAGGUUUAAAGGGUACUUAGACGGUAAAUUAAGCCCAGAUAAAAAUAAAGGGUACUAAUUAUACUAGAGUUUAAAUGAGAGGGGGGGUGUAGUAGUGGUGUAGAGAUGAAAUUCUGUCAUACCAAGAUGACAGGCAACGGCGCAAGCAACCUUUUAUGUGUAGACUGACGUUAAAGGACGAAGGCUUUGUAUCACCAACAGGAUUAGGUACCCAAGCAGUCUUAGCAGACAAUUCUGAAUGCCAUAGAUAAGAAAAGAUUCUUUUCUCUCUAUCUCUAUUAAUAAAAAGAGAUAGAUGUUAUUUUGUCUAUAAAUGAAAGUGUAAGCAUUCCACCUCAAGAGUAAUGUGGCAACGCAUAAACUGAAAUCAUUAGACCGUUUCUGAAACCAGUAGUGAAGUAUGUUGUUUAAUUUGAUGGUCCGCACAAAACCUCACCACAAUUUGUAUAUUAUUAUCUUAAUACAGGAGUUGCACGGCUGUCUUCAGUUAAUGUCGUGAGAUUUUGGUUAGUUCCAUUAAAUUAACGUAAACCCUUACUUUAUUUAUGUUAUAAAGUAGUUCGCCGCUAUAUUGGAUAUGAUAAAAGGGACUAAGACAAGUCAUCAUGGCCUUAAUAUUGUGGG